rnacentral:ribozyme from 1 species
UGCCCAGCAACUCCUAUCCCUACCUCCUCGUGGUACCGGCCGGAAACUUCGAGCAACCUUAGAGAAGAUCGGGUAACCAACCUUGGUGGGAACUUUGGUCGUAGGCUGACAGGGAAGA